ensembl:lncRNA
CAGAUGCCCACUUCUCACUGGAGCUGUACAUGUGUUGGCUGGCAUGAUUCGCUGUUGGUGAUGAGGCGGUCAGGGUGACGUUACAGGGCUAUGGUCGGCUCUCUGUGAGCUCAACGUUUAGAUUUGCUCUGUAUGGUUUGUACCCUGAAUAAUCUAGAUAAUUGUAAAAUGUAGACACGGAUUUGUAUUGAAUGAUUCCCGGUUUUUAGGUUUAAGGUUGUUGUGGGACGUACAUGGUAGUUUGGUUCUUCGUAUGGUUUUGAGUGAUAUAACUUGUGCACACUGGGUGCAUAAUAAUGUAAAGGUACACUGAAUAUUAUCAAUGACCAACAGCAACAAACGGAUCUCCUCAAGGUAAGUCUGUUGGCUGUGUUUUAAUGAAGACCAUCGCUGGACUUCAGGAUCUUCCUCCGUUCAGCUCAAGGUGAGGCGCUGGUUAUGUUUUUUCUUUGGUUGGUUCCGGCCGGAAUGUUCGUAUUCCAGUCGGACGGUUUGUGCUUCCCGCCGUGGAAGGUUCUGAGUGCGGUCACUUGAUUUAGUCCCAAUGGUUAGCAUAGAACGUUGUAGUCUUGACAACCAUAAGAAACCACCUGGCAGUUAGUUUGACGGGAGUCCCCUGAGGGAAUCUGGCGGAACGUUCUUGAUUGUAUUUGAGUAACCUCGAAGCGUUGCCAACGGAAACAAUUUUUUCAGUCGGUUUCCAUUGGGAAUUGUUGCCCCCUAUCUUAAACAACUAAAGUUUGAUAUUAAAUACAUACUGAGACGUACGUCGUACAAUACGUUGAUAAUUUCCGAUGGUUGCGCCGUACUUUUAACCACGAUGACGUUGCGGGACUCUCACUGCGUUCAAAACCGCGUUCUACUUGCGGGCCCAUUUUUAACAUCAGUGAAGGCUGAAAAUCAUUUCAAGGUGGAAGAUAAUUUGACAUUUCUUCAACGGAACCCAGCACCUGAAUAUGGCUGAGUAUAUUUGAUUUAAUAUCGAUACUGCUUAGUGUUCUUUUAUUACUUCAGCUUUUGUACGUUCUAAAUAUCUGCUGUCAUUAAUUGCCACAGAAGUUAAACCCUACCCAAUGGAAUGACGUUAACCCACGACUUUGGUGCAGAGUUACCAACUGGAUAAUAUCAAAGCUAAAAUAAUGGCCGUCAUUCCCACAUGUUACAGUAGAAGAUACUCUAGAACUGUACAAGGUUAAAAAGGUAACGUGUAGUUUGUCCCAAGGUGUCUGCCUCCUCACCCAGAGCCAGACCUCCACCUCCUCACCCAGAGCCAGACCUCCACCUCCUCACCCAGAGCCAGACCUCCACCUCCUCACCCAGAGCCAGACCUCCACCUCCUCACCCAGAGCCAGACCUCCACCUCCGGUCAGUGCUCUGUCUGAAAGGCGAGGCUGAGAGGCUGGGGACCAGAGGCUUGUGGUGCCAGGAUGGACCGGAGACUGAGACUGGAGACCAGGGGCCUGCAGCACCGGACCAGAGGAACGUGUUUCUGGAGCGGAGGCGAGCUGGUAGGGGAGCCGUGAAUCUGGAGGAUGACCAUCACUCUACCAACCAGGGUUACCAGGAAUCUUGAGGACUGAUGGAGAAGCCGUACAUCUGGAAGGCAAAUCCUGAGGACCACCAGGAAUCUACCAUCAAGGAUUCCUCAUAAAUGUGCAGUAUCUGGACAUAGUGGACCAGACACACCUGAACUGAACCUCACCUGAUCCUGUUUGGUCGGGGGUAGACACACCUGAGCUAAACCCGCCCUGAUCCUGACAUCCUGCUGGUCCCGUCUCCUCAGUUCAUCUGAGCCUCGUCCUCCAGAAGACCUGCUGAGCUCAGCAGUCUGAGGCUGAUGGAUCAAUGACCUCCAGUGGGAGUGUUCUUCUUGACCCCACAUGUAACCGUGUGCUUCCACACGCCUUUCCCUCACGUCUGUCACUAACCUCACUACUUCACUACUCUCUACUGCUUCCUCUUCUUUUUCCUUCUCUGUGGUUCGAACCUUUACACGGAAGGCGCGUCUUCCUGCCCUCAGAGGGUUUAGCGUUAGGGUUGAGAGUCAGGGUUUAGAGUCAGGGACAGAGCUGGUCAGGGAGGACUGCUUUUACACAAACCUCUUCACUUGCUUUCGGUAUGGUGGUGACAUUUUGGAAAGAUUAAUUUGGGAAAAUGUUUUCCUCUGCUUUCCUUUACAAAAUUGUAUCAAACUUAUGUCAAGUGUUUAUAUAUUAAAAUCCCACAUUGACUUCUACAUGUUUGUGACGGUUCAUUUAAUUGUCCUUUAACUUGGUUAAUGUCAAGCUAAACUCCCGCAAUACAUUUAAUAUACAUGAUUGUUAUUCUGCAAUGUUCACAUAAUCCAUUUUGUAAAAAUAUGAAACCUCC